AUUGAACGCUGGCGGAAUGCUUUACACAUGCAAGUCGAGCGGCAGCACGGGGGCAACCCUGGUGGCGAGCGGCGAACGGGUGAGUAACACAUCGGAACAUGCCCAGUCGUGGGGGAUAACACUUCGAAAGAAGUGCUAAUACCGCAUACGUCCUGAGGGAGAAAGCGGGGGAUCGCAAGACCUCGCGCGAUUGGAGUGGCCGAUGUCAGAUUAGCUAGUUGGUGGGGUAAAGGCCUACCAAGGCAACGAUCUGUAGCUGGUCUGAGAGGAUGAUCAGCCACACUGGGACUGAGACACGGGCCAGACUCCUAAGGGAGGCAGCAGUAGGGAAUUUUGGGAAAUGGGGGGAAGCCUGACUCAGCAACUCCGCGUGAGUGAAGAAGGCCUUUGGAUUUUAAAACUCUUUUAUGAGGGAAGAAAAAGUGUGGCUGUAACUAUGCUCGUCAUGACGGUACCUAAAAAGAAAGCCACGGCUAACUACGGG
rnacentral:rRNA from 1 species